rnacentral:rRNA from 1 species
UACGAAGGUGGCAAGCGUUGUUCGGAUUUACUGGGCGUAAAGGGUGCGCAGGUGGGUUUGCAAGUUCGAUGUGAAAGCCCCGGGCUUAACCCGGGAAUGGCAUUGGAUACUGCAGAUCUGGAGGAUCGGAGGGGGGACUGGAAUUCUUGGUGUAGCAGUGAAAUGCGUAGAUAUCAAGAGGAACACCAGUGGCGAAGGCGAGUCCCUGGACGAUACCUGACACUGAGGCACGAAAGCUAGGGGAGCAAACAGG